rnacentral:rRNA from 1 species
UCAGGCCUAACACAUGCAAGUCGAGCGGAAACGAGUUAUCUGAACCUUCGGGGGGCGAUAACGGCGUCGAGCGGCGGACGGGUGAGUAAUGCCUAGGAAAUUGCCCUGAUGUGGGGGAUAACCAUUGGAAACGAUGGCUAAUACCGCAUAAUGCCUACGGGCCAAAGAGGGGGACCUUCGGGCCUCUCGCGUCAGGAUAUGCCUAGGUGGGAUUAGCUAGUUGGUGAGGUAAGGGCUCACCAAGGCGACGAUCCCUAGCUGGUCUGAGAGGAUGAUCAGCCACACUGGAACUGAGACACGGUCCAGACUCCUACGGGAGGCAGCAGUGGGGAAUAUUGCACAAUGGGCGCAAGCCUGAUGCAGCCAUGCCGCGUGUGUGAAGAAGGCCUUCGGGUUGUAAAGCACUUUCAGUCGUGAGGAAGGUGGUGUAGUCAAUAGCUGCAUUAUUUGACGUUAGCGACAGAAGAAGCACCGGCUAACUCCGUGCCAGCAGCCGCGGUAAUACGGAGGGUGCGAGCGUUAAUCGGAAUUACUGGGCGUAAAGCGCAUGCAGGUGGUUUGUUAAGUCAGAUGUGAAAGCCCGGGGCUCAACCUCGGAAUAGCAUUUGAAACUGGCAGACUAGAGUACUGUAGAGGGGGGUAGAAUUUCA